CUACGGGUGGCUCCAGUGAGGAAUAUUGCACAAUGGGGGGAACCCUGAUACAGCAACGCCGCGUGGAGGAUGACGCAUUUCGGUGUGUAAACUCCUUUUAUAUGUCAAGAAAAUGACGGUAGCAUAUGAAUAAGCACCGGCUAACUCCGUGCCAGCAGCCGCGGUAAUACGGAGGGUGCAAGCGUUACUCGGAAUCACUGGGCGUAAAGGACGCGUAGGCGGGUUGGAAAGUCAGGUGUGAAAUCCUACAGCUUAACUGUAGAACUGCACUUGAAACUUCUAAUCUAGAGUAUGGGAGGGGGAGAUGGAAUUAGUGGUGUAGGGGUAAAAUCCGUAGAUAUCACUAGGAAUACCUAAAGCGAAGGCGAUCUCCUGGAACAUUACUGACGCUAAGGCGUGAAAGCGUGGGGAGCAAACAGGAUAGAUACCCUUGUAGUC
rnacentral:rRNA from 1 species